rnacentral:rRNA from 1 species
GGCGGACGGGUGAGUAAUGCAUAGGAAUUUGCCUUGAAGUGGGGGAUAGCCCGGAGAAAUCCGGAUUAAUACCGCAUGUGCUCUACGGAGCAAAGUGGACCUCUGAUUUAAGUUCACGCUUUGAGAUAAGCCUAUGUCGGAUUAGCUAGUUGGUAGGGUAAAAGCCUACCAAGGCGACGAUCCGUAGCUGGUUUGAGAGGAUGAUCAGCCACACUGGGACUGAGACACGACCCAGACUCCUACGGGAGGCAGCAGUGGGGAAUAUUGGACAAUGGGCGCAAGCCUGAUCCAGCAAUGCCGCGUGUGUGAAGAAGGCCUGCGGGUUGUAAAGCACUUUUAUCGGGAAAGAAAAUCACAGGGUUAAUACCCCUGUGCCUUGACGGUACCCGAAGAAUAAGCACCGGCUAACUCAGUGCCAGCAGCCGCGGUAAUACUGAGGGUGCAAGCGUUAAUCGGAAUUACUGGGCGUAAAGCGAGUGUAGGCGGCUCCGUAAGUCGGAUGUGAAAGCCCCGGGCUUAACCUGGGAAUUGCAUUCGAUACUGCGCGGCUAGAGUUUGAUAGAGGGAAGUG